AAGACAAAUAAUUACAAAUAAAUAAAACUUAGUACUGUUAGGGAUGUCAAAAAUCAGGUUGAUGUGCAUGUUAUUAGCAGCACAAAUUAGUUCUGCCUUUCCGAAGAGCAAUCUGGCACUAUGUCAUAAGUGCUAUAAAAACCAUUCAUGCCCUCUGACUCACUAGUACUAUUUUUUAAAAUUAUGUACAACCAGGCCGGGUGCAGUGGGGCAUGCUUGUACUCCCAGCACUUUGGGAGGCUGAGGCAGGAAGAUUGCUUGAGCCCAGGAAUUCAAGACCAGCCUGGGCAACAUGGUGAAACCCUGUCUCUACAAAAAAAUACAAGAAUUAGUGGGGAUGGUGGCUGGCGCCUGUAGGCCCAGCUACUUGGGAGGCUAAGGUUUAAUUAAAGUGGCAUGAUUCACAAAAUACAAAAGAAUUUGUGACUAAGUCAUAUGAAUGUCAAAUUGAGCUUUCCCUUGGAUGAGGACAAACAAAACAAACAAAAAAUCUUUUUUAACCUAUACAUUAGUCUUUCUCUCUCUAGUUUUUCUGAACAAACUGAACAAGUAAACUGCAAACAUGAUGUCCUUUUACCCCUAAGUACUUUAAUGUAUAUUUCCUAAAAGAAAAAGAC
rnacentral:lncRNA from 1 species